rfam:Vitis vinifera, whole genome shotgun sequence of line PN40024, unoriented chromosome 1, chr1
GAGCCGUAUGCGGUGAGAGUCGCACAUACGGUAACGAGGGGGGUUCGCGUCUAUACGUAUAGUGUGGGAGUUGGGCCUACCCACCCUAU